rnacentral:rRNA from 1 species
AGUGAACGCUGGCGGUAGGCCUAACACAUGCAAGUCGAACGGCAGCACAGUAAGAGCUUGCUCUUACGGGUGGCGGGUGGCGGACGGGUGAGGAAUACAUCGGAAUCUACUUUUUCGUGGGGGAUAACGUAGGGAAACUUACGCUAAUACCGCAUACGACCUACGGGUGAAAGCAGGGGAUCUUCGGACCUUGCGCGAUUGAAUGAGCCGAGGUCGGAUUAGCUAGUUGGCGGGGUAAAGGCCCACCAAGGCGACGAUCCGUAGCUGGUCUGAGAGGAUGAUCAGCGACACUGGAACUGAGACACGGUACAGACUCCUACGGGAGGCAGCAGUGGGGAAUAUUGGACAAUGGGCGCAAGCCUGAUCCAGCCAUACCGCGUGGGUGAAGAAGGCCUUCGGGUUGUAAAGCCCUUUUGUUGGGAAAGAAAAGCAGCAGGUUAAUACCCCGCUGUUCUGACGGUACCCAAAGAAUAAGCACCGGCUAACUUCGUG